rnacentral:rRNA from 1 species
CCUACGGGUGGCAGCAGUGAGGAAUAUUGGUCAAUGGGCGGAAGCCUGAACCAGCCAAGUAGCGUGCAGGAUGACGGCCCUACGGGUUGUAAACUGCUUUUAUAAAGGAAUAAAACGAGGCACGUGUGCCUUUUUGCAUGUACUUUAUGAAUAAAGGUAGGCUAACUCCGUGCCAGCAGCCGCGGUAAGACGGAGGAUCCGAGCGUUAUCAGGAUUUGUUGGGCUUAAAGGGAACGUAGAUGGGUUGUUAAGUCAGUUGUGAAAGGCUGGGGCUCAACCGUAAAACUGCAAUUGAUACUGGCAGUCUGGAGUACAGUUGAGGUAGGCGGAAUUCGUGGUGUAGCGGUGAAAUGCGUAGAGAGCACGAAGAACCCCGAUGGCGAAGGCAGCUUACUAAACUGUGACUGACAUUGAGGCUCGAAAGUGUGGGUAUCAAACAGGAUUAGAUACCCGGGUAGUC